AUUGAACGCUGGCGGCAGGCCUAACACAUGCAAGUCGAACGGUAACAGGAAGCAGCUUGCUGCUUCGCUGACGAGUGGCGGACGGGUGAGUAAUGUCUGGGAAACUGCCUGAUGGAGGGGGAUAACUACUGGAAACGGUAGCUAAUACCGCAUAACGUCGCAAGACCAAAGAGGGGGACCUUAGGGCCUCUUGCCAUCGGAUGUGCCCAGAUGGGAUUAGCUAGUAGGUGGGGUAACGGCUCACCUAGGCGACGAUCCCUAGCUGGUCUGAGAGGAUGACAAGCCACACUGGAACUGAGACACGGUCCAGACUCCUACGGGAGGCAGCAGUGGGGAAUAUUGCACAAUGGGCGCAAGCCUGAUGCAGCCAUGCCGCGUGUAUGAAGAAGGCCUUCGGGUUGUAAAGUACUUUCAGCGGGGAGGAAGGGAGUAAAGUUAAUACCUUUGCUCAUUGACGUUACCCGCAGAAGAAGCGCCGGCUAACUCCGUGC
rnacentral:rRNA from 1 species